rnacentral:rRNA from 1 species
UGCUAUAAUGCAGUCGAGCGGACCGACGGGAGCUUGCUCCCUUAGGUCAGCGGCGGACGGGUGAGUAACACGUGGGUAACCUGCCUGUAAGACUGGGAUAACUCCGGGAAACCGGGGCUAAUACCGGAUGCUUGAUUGAACCGCAUGGUUCAAUCAUAAAAGGUGGCUUUUAGCUACCACUUACAGAUGGACCCGCGGCGCAUUAGCUAGUUGGUGAGGUAACGGCUCACCAAGGCGACGAUGCGUAGCCGACCUGAGAGGGUGAUCGGCCACACUGGGACUGAGACACGGCCCAGACUCCUACGGGAGGCAGCAGUAGGGAAUCUUCCGCAAUGGACGAAAGUCUGACGGAGCAACGCCGCGUGAGUGAUGAAGGUUUUCGGAUCGUAAAACUCUGUUGUUAGGGAAGAACAAGUACCGUUCGAAUAGGGCGGCACCUUGACGGUACCUAACCAGAAAGCCACGGCUAACUACGUGCCAGCAGCCGCGGUAAUACGUAGGUGGCAAGCGUUGUCCGGAAUUAUUGGGCGUAAAGCGCGCGCAGGCGGUUUCUUAAGUCUGAUGUGAAAGCCCCCGGCUCAACCGGGGAGGGUCAUUGGAAACUGGGGAACUUGAGUGCAGAAGAGGAGAGUGGAAUUCCACGUGUAGCGGUGAAAUGCGUAGAGAUGUGGAGGAACACCAGUGGCGAAGGCGACUCUCUGGUCUGUAACUGACGCUGAGGCGCGAAAGCGUGGGGAGCGAACAGGAUUAGAUACCCUGGUAGUCCACGCCGUAAACGAUGAGUGCUAAGUGUUAGAGGG